UGUGAGAUAGGGUAUUAGUCCACCUAUAGAAGAUUCUGCUGGGCCUUGAUCUUCUCUUUACACUGCAGUUACACUCUUGGUUGGUUGCAGAGCGCUUGGUCUCAAGAUGUUGGUCCUGAGAGUUUAUUUUUUAUUUCCUACUUUAGAACUACUAACCUGAAGAUAAUCAUCUCGUGGUGAUCCCAUUCCCCACCUGUUACAGUGGUGGACUUGGAGAAGGAAAUCCCAUGCAUGGAUUUCUGCGAUGCAAAUUUACCACCAGCAUCCAGACAAACUGGUUCCAGGCUGUCCAUAUCUACCAUUGUGGACUCCAUGUGUUGUUUAGGCCAAAAGGCCGAAGAAACUCUGGGACUCAUAGGAGCAAAUAGGCUUCAUGAUGUCCUGACAAAAAAUAAUAUGUUCAACAGGAAAAAAAUUGUUGGGAACAUCCUUGGAGAAAUAAGGCAUGUUCCAAAGAUUUGUUCUGCCAAGAGUCCUGCAGGUCCUGACAACCUCGCUUCCGCCCUUUGGAGGAGAGAGAGUGAUCCUGCCUUGUCCAUGUCCG
ensembl:lncRNA